GGGGAAUAUUGCACAAUGGGCGCAAGCCUGAUGCAGCGACGCCGCGUGAGGGAUGGAGGCCUUCGGGUUGUAAACCUCUUUCAGCAGGGAAGAAGCGCAAGUGACGGUACCUGCAGAAGAAGCGCCGGCUAACUACGUGACAGCAGCCGCGGUAAUACGUAGGGCGCAAGCGUUGUCCGGAAUUAUUGGGCGUAAAGAGCUCGUAGGCGGUUUGUCGCGUCUGCUGUGAAAACCUAAGGCUCAACCUUGGGCUUGCAGUGGGUACGGGCAGACUAGAGUGCGGUAGGGGUGACUGGAAUUCCUGGUGUAGCGGUGGAAUGCGCAGAUAUCAGGAGGAACACCGAUGGCGAAGGCAGGUCUCUGGGCCAUUACUGACGCUGAGGAGCGAAAGCGUGGGGAGCGAA
rnacentral:rRNA from 1 species